CCUACGGGAGGCAGCAGUGAGGAAUAUUGGUCAAUGGCCGGAAGGCUGAACCAGCCAAGCCGCGUGAAGGACGAAGGUGCCAAGCAUUGUAAACUUCUUUUGUCAAGGGACAAAAUCAGGCUCGAGAGCCUGACCGAGGGUACUUGAAGAAAAAGCAUCGGAAAACUGCGGGCCAGCAGCCGCGGUAAUACGGAGGAUGCGAGCGUUAUCCGGAUUUAUUGGGUUUAAAGGGUGCGUAGGCGGGCGGUUAAGUCAGCGGUAAAAGCCCGGGGCUCAACUCCGGCGAGCCGUUGAAACUGGCUGUCUGGAGAGGGCGAGAGGUAUGCGGAAUGCGCGGUGUAGCGGUGAAAUGCUUAGAUAUUGCGCAGAACUCCGAUUGCGAAGGCAGCAUACCGGCGGCGAUCUGACGCUGAGGCACGAAAGCGUGGGUAUCGAACAGGAUUAGAUACCCCAGUAGUC
rnacentral:rRNA from 1 species